rnacentral:rRNA from 1 species
UACGAAGGUCCCAAGCGUUGCUCGGAAUCAUUGGGCGUAAAGCGAGCGCAGGUGGCUUUGUAAGUCAGGAGUGAAAUCCCGGGGCUCAACCCCGGAAGUGCUUUUGAUACUGCAAAGCUUGAGUGUGGGAGAGGAUGCUAGAAUUCCUGGUGUAGUGGUGAAAUACGUAGAUAUCAGGAGGAACUCCGGUGGCGAAGGCGGGCAUCUGGCCCAACACUGACACUUAGGCUCGAAAGCGUGGGGAGCAAACGGG